UCGAUUGUUUGGAGGGCACAUUGGAUUCAUGGUCCUUCGGAUGAAAAGAUCAACUAGACCAAUUUCCAGGCCUACUGGUUUUUAUUUAGAUACGCCAAAGAUGCUGUUAAUCAGGAAGUUCUCUUAAUUUACUACACCUGAAAUUCCACUGUUCUAUCUGUUUUCUUUCCUCGGUGCCAUUUAAAGAUCAGGUAACAACAAUUUGGUCGUUUCCUUUAUAUUGAACUACAAGAAAAGUUCCAAUGCACUUCGAGCACUAUAAAAAUCCACCUAGAUUCAAUUUUUUUGGUCAUCCUUUUCCAUACUCAUAUGGUAAAGAUUGCCUAACAUAAGUAAUUCUUUUAGAAUCAUAAGCAAUCCGUGAUGAGCUAUCAAAUAUAUGGAUUGAAUAGUUGGUUGCCUAUGUUUGUACAAAUGAUCUCCACAGUCCAUAUUAGAGGCCAUUGGUCAGAUGGUUGAGAUCAUCAACGAAUUGCCAUCGUGGGGAUGUCAAAGUGUCGAUUGGUACAAAGUUCUUCCAACUGCAAUCUCGAGGCAAUGUUCCACCUAGUUAGCCUCUUCAUAAAUUUCUUGAAGAAAAGAUUAUUGAAAAUAAAAUUCUCACUUAAAUCCAUCAUGGUCGUUUGUUAAUGCUUUUGGCAGGACCGCUAAUCCCUAGCAGUUAGUGCAAGUAUCUUAUUUGCCUUUGGUGUUAGCAAAUCUUAUUGAUCUUGAGAACUGAGAUCUUCCAUAUGAGCAUCGAAUUGCUUGCCUUAGAGCUUUUAUUCUAAGUUCCCAAUUACCACUAUUAUCUGAGUUCAUGACCAUUUUCUGCUGCAAAUUGCUUCCUGGGCUAGCUCAAUGUGAAUCAUCCCUUUUUUAUUGUUCUUUAUUAUUUCACUUGUACAGGCACUGUUGUAGACAAAUGUAGUAGUAUUAUUGAAUGGGUAGCACAAAUGAGCCUCAGUGACACACCAUAUGUGCAUUGGAAUAGAUUAAUCGCACAUAUGGUAUGUUGCGAAGCUUGUUAAUCUGGCUAUCAGGUUU